AGGUAACCUGAUUUUCAAAACAAACAUUUCUGAAUAUCGUGACUCGUGUCUUGAUUUUUAGUUUUACGGCCAACUCGGCGGCGUAGAUAAUGGCCGCAUCUGAAAAACUUUGCUGCGUUCGGGGAUGCAGCAACUCUCGGCUCUCCAAACCCCAACCCGCGACGCGUUCCAAUGACAAAGCAUCCGGCAGCGGGAGCCCUGCUCCAGGGGUUCAGGCCUAACAGCAGAGCAACCAGAUACACCUCACCUGACUCCAAUGACCUGGAACCGGAUGAGAACCAAUUUAACGGUCAAGGUGGCGCACCGCAGUCCAGCAUAUCUAGAGUCUUCAAAAGGCGAGUGGGCGGACAGGAGGACGCCGACACCGACCGGUCGGGACGCAGUACGGCAGUACGGCGAAAUCAGCA